ACGCUGAAAGGAGGUGGUCCGAACGAUGAUUGAUCAUAGUUGGGCUAGCGAGGUGGCUGUCCGCUAGGACGCCGCGGCUCCGGACUCUGUCCGGACGUCUCGCGACGUUCGGCGAAUCCAAGACAAUCACCGGAACCCCGGGCUGUCGGAAGGCGGGUCCCCCGUCUUUAGUCCAAUCCGACCCUUCUGCCGAGCAGGAGGAAGCAGCCCGGGGUUCUUUGCUG
rnacentral:sRNA from 1 species